rnacentral:hammerhead_ribozyme from 1 species
AUUCAGUUGACGAGUCCCAAAUAGGACAAAAUCCGCGUCAAACUGGAU